AGUGAACGCUGGCGGCAUGCCUAACACAUGCAAGUCGAACGGCCGCACAGUAAGAGCGCGCCUUUACUGUUGGCGAGUGGCGGGCGGGUGAGGCAUACAUCACCUACCUCUUUUUCGUGGGUGAUAACGUGAGGCAACUGAUGCUACUACCUCAUAUUUUGUACGGGUUAAAUCAAAGGUUCAUCGCACUCUUGCUGUUUCUUUUAGCUGAUUUCGCGCUGGAUUAGCUAGUUGGUAAGGUAACGGCUAACCAAGGCGACGAUGCGUAGCUGACCUGAGAGGAUGAUCAGCCACACUGGAACUGAGACACGGUCCAGACUCCUACGGGAGGCAGCAGUGGGGAAUAUUGGACAAUGGGCGCAAGCCUGAUCGAGCCGUACCGCGUGGGUGAAGAAGGUCUUCGGGUUGUAAAGCCCUUUUGUUGGGGAAGAAAAGCUGCAGAUUAAUACGCCGCUGUUCUGACGGUACCCAAAGAAUAAGCACCGGCUAACUUCGUG
rnacentral:rRNA from 1 species